rfam:Nicotiana sylvestris Nsyl_contig55129, whole genome shotgun sequence.
AAGACAGAUUUUUGUAUUCGACUGUAUUCAUGGCGUGAAACAGGGGAUUACAGUUGUUUUUAAACGGAAAGUGAAUCAAUUAACAUAAUAGACUCCU